rnacentral:rRNA from 1 species
CAGCCGUAAACUAUGCGCGUUAGGUGUAUCGGUGACCACGAGUCACCGAGGUGCCGAAGGGAAACCGUGAAACGUGCCGCCUGGGAAGUACGGUCGCAAGGCUGAAACUUAAAGGAAUUGGCGGGGGGAGCACCACAACGGGUGGAGCCUGCGGUUUAAUUGGACUCAACGCCGGGAAGCUCACCGGAUAAGACAGCGGAAUGAUUGCCGGGCUGAAGACUCUGCAUGACUAGCUGAGAGGAGGUGCAUGGCGUAGACGUCU